UAGAACCCACAAAGGGUGUUGGUCG
rnacentral:snRNA from 1 species